UUUUUUUCUUACCUGUUUUCCUUUUACCCUGACACCUCCAAGUAUUGAUUUCGUAAUUUUGUGUAUACAUUUUGAAAAUCAAUUUUUUUGAAACUCCUAUUCUGCUGAAAGAUUGAGGAAGAAGUUUUUUAAAUAAAGAUUUCACAGAGACAACAUCUGUGCCUCACUCUUUAGUUAAAUUCUGUAGUUCCAAUUAUUCCUAACAUCGUAACCGAACUGAAUCAGAAAGUAGUUUAGUGGCGUUUUAAAAAUUGCAUCUCUAUUAAAUUCAGAACUCUAAGAUCCUCAAGUAGGGGGAACAUAGACUUCAGAAGACGUUUAAACCUCGUGAUAUAAGCAAAAUGUUGUUAGUACACACAAAUGUAUAUUUUCCUGGGUCAAAAUCUGAGGCUUUCACCAAAUAUGCAAAGUCUAUUAUUCCGAAAAAAGGUCAAGAACUUCUGGGCUGAGUUACAUUAACCCUUCUGAGUCCCCCUCCCCCAGAGUCACAAGGCUGGUUUUUGCUUUUUCUGUCAGGAUCCUAAACUUCUGUCAGAAUGUUGAUGUGUGCUUUGUUCUGGGAGCGCACACUCAGUAAAUGUUAGUUGACUUGCAUUGAUAUUUAAUUAUUUACACUGCAUUUGGUGUCUGGAAUGGCAGUCUCUGGUUGAUCAUUCUGGAACUCUGAAUCCAUCGGCUGCAUCCCCAUGGGCUUGGCGUGUUGUAGACACACAAAUCAAAGUAGUGUGAGGGAGGAGAAAAAUCAUUCCCUUCUAGGAUAAUGCAUUUUUCAUGAGAAACAGGUCAUUACGGAACCAUUGCCUCCUGCUUGCUCUCAUUCUACCUCUCCAUCCUUUUCUCUCUUGUCAAAUUAUUCCGCCUCUUUGGUCGUCUCUCAGUGUCUCCCCUCUGCUUUAUUACUCUGUAUUUGAUUAUCUUACCGUCUCCUUCUUUCUGAUAUAUUUAGAUGAUUUCAACAUAAUAUGCACCUUUGAACUCCUUUCUUGUGUAUGUAACUUUUGUUCCUUUUCAUCGUGGGGCAUCUGUCUCUUUGUUAGCUGUCCAGUAGAUGCAUUGCACAGAUUUUCUCAAACUUAUCAUUUCAAUUCCCAACACAUAAAAAGACAAUGCUCAUAUCCUGUUUUUCCACGAUACUUUCAUUCUCCCUGAAGAUUUAAUUUUAUUGCCCAUUGUAGUAGUUUCCCAUUUCCUUUUAAGUCUGUGAAUACAGACUCACUAAUUGACUUGUGCCAGUUUUCUAUCUGUUAUGCAAAUUCUGGGGCGAUUUCCUCCCAAAUGAUGGACUUGAGGUGAUCAAUCUAUCACAUGUCUUCGAGCAAUGCUCUCUUCUCUGGUUACAAUCAGGAGUGGGCUGAGGGAACCCAGAGAUUUUUGAAGAAGGAGAUUUAUGUCAUGAGAGAAGACUCUGGUAGGGAAAACAUGUCCCAGUGAAAACUUCUUUCAUGUUUCUGUUGAGAGGUUUUUCGUUGUUGCUGUUGUUGUUGUAAAGCAGCUAAGUUAUAAUUUUUACCAAAAUUUAAUUACAUUCAGAGAGUAAACAUCUGGAAAUCAUCCUGAGUAAUCAGCGUGAACUCAUAUGGUGAAUCAGAGGCUUAUAUUAUAUGCCAGGGUUUAGAGAUUACAAUCUUAAUGAUCUGUACAUUAUUCAUAAGUCUUUGUUUUAAAGCUGUCUGUAAGAAAUAAUUAGAAUUCAAGCCAUUCAUGAAACAGGAAACUUGCCACUUUAUUUCUUACUUGAUUUCUUACACAUAAGCACAUCUCCCUCUGGGCGGUGGGGUUGUUAGAAGAAAGAGUUAAGUAUUGGUUUGUUUUUGGUGUGUAUGCUUUUUUCUUUACUUCAUUCAAUUUGUGAAAUUUAAGAAGCAGUAGGGAUCCUAAGUCAGGCAAGUAAACUGGAAAACAAUAAAACUUGAAAACUACCCAGGCGUGAAAUCCCCUUGAACUAAGGAAUGCUUCCAACAUUGUGUUCUUCGUAAGCAUGAACAAUGAAUGAUAACAUUUCAAAAUUAGUUUUUGAAGGGAGGUGCAUAAUAGGAAACUUGAUCAUCUAAAAUCAGCCAAACCCACCUUCUUACGAACCUCCGAGAAUAGCCUAUCCCCCUACCCAGUAUGACCUAAAAAUAACAGAUUACAUCUCAUCCCCAAAGUAACUUGGCUUGCGCUCAAGAAUUAAUACAUACAUGACACUCAGAAUGGCAUCCAAAAAAAGAAGUGGCGUUCUCUUUCUUGUGAGCUGUCACAGUGCGGUAAGCCUCCCUGGCUCUGUAAUCCUAAUUAAUGUUCGUUGUCUUCACUGCGUUUGGUGUGAAAAAUGUGGAGCGGGAACACUCUUGAGUGGGAAUCAGGCUCUCAAGAGGCUGCCGUUUCAGAAGGUAGACGUCAUGUUUCAGACCUCCAACCAUCUAUGCUGUCACAGUCAUGACGAACAGAAGGCACUGAGACUCCCAGGACCAACUAUCAACCAUCAUCUUCGUUGCCUUUGUGACAGCUGCUCUGAGGGGGAAGAAAGUGCACUUCCUAGAGAGAGAUGACCUUUGCAAAGUGGAGCUAUUUGUAAAGACUUCUGUUUCUCCGGGGGAUUUUUUUUCUCACUCAGAAGGAUCAACCACAAAGAUUCAGUCCAGGAGGUGCCCUCCCACAAACUGCCAUGCCAGUGAAUGGGCCCCAUUCUGUGGUGUCUGAGGAAUGUGUAUCCUUUCUUGAUGUCAAUCCAGUAAAUCAGAGUUUACUCCAAAUUCGUUUUUUGAUUUUUUUGUUUUUUUUUUUUUUUAAUUAAACUAAGUGUCUACUGAGGACAGAAAUAGGAUUGGUGAUAAAUGUCACUGAGAAAACAAUUCAAUACGAAGAACUUCCUAACAAUCAGAGCUGUUCAAGUUAAAAAAAAAAAAAAUAGCCUGCCAUUUGGAGGAAUUGAAGUCCCUGUGAAGGGAGACAGUCAAGAGAAGGCUCUCACAGCUUAUUGGGGUGACUGUCUAAUUAUGUUAACUUUUAUCUCCUUCAAUGCACUGUAGUCAUGCUGAGGCCAGGUGUUUUGUUUUGUUUUACUUUGUCUUGUUUUUGGAUUUCUGGACACACUGAAGAUAUUCAAUAAAUACAUUUUUAUGAAUGAAAGAAUAACACAGGGGGACCCUGCAUUCAUUGAGUGGGACAUUGGACAGAGAAAAUUUAAGAUAUCUUAAUUGUGAAAUUCUUGGAAAAGUUCAUUGUCCUGCAGAAAAGCAAAUUCAGUGGUAAAGGUGCGAUGUCAUAGUGAAUGUUUUGCAAUUUUUUACAACUCUUGACUACCUCUAGAUUGUUGUCAAUUCCUUCCUGCAAUUCUCUACUUAGACUACUUUCUUCCUAAUUUCAGGCACCAACUUCAUACUUGGAUGUCCUGGAAGUAAGAAAUCAUUCUUUUUAUUGCACAAUGUGUAAUAUUUCAAAGAGCCAUACUGCCAAAUCAUCUCAUACCAGAAUGAGACAUAUACUGAUUGCAAAAAAGACUUGAUUACAAAAACUUUGAAGUUUCACAUUAUAGCAAAUAACGACAACUUUGUUAACUUCUGGAUUCUACAAUACUUGUUUGCUUCAUAUAGAAUAUACUUGAAUCUCCUAUCAUUCUAGAGUCCAACCAGUAUCCUGAUUUGUUCAGCUCUGUGUUUCAACACUUUGAGUCUCAAUUCUUCAGAUGGUGAUAAAAUCAGUUUAAUGGGUUGCAAACCAAAAUUUAAAAGAAAAAUGACUAGUGUGAAACAGAAAAUAUCAGAAUACAUCAUACUUAGUAGGAAAAAUAUUUUUCUCAUGAAGCUCUUAUUUCAGCAACUUCGAUUAAUGUGUGUCUGUUGUGAUAUAAAAUGUAUUUCUUGCAGUGGAUAAUGUAUAAAAAAAAGUUUUGAAAAUAUUGGUUUACAGGAUGCUCCAGGGCCCUUAUAAUAAUGACCAUAGUUUGUCACUAGUUUAAUUUUCUUAGAAGAUUGAUAGUCAGGCUUAUGCCUAGUGAAAUUUUUCAGUUCGAAAUUUCUUAUCAGCAGUAAGAAGAACAGAUGACCCAGUUCUCAAAGUUUGUGCACUUGAGCCAACUGGAAUUCAAAUAAGAAAUAUAGGAUGUUAAUUUAUUUUACACCAUCCUCAGAUGAACUGAAGGUCAGGUGCUUCACAAGCUCCAAGGGUCCCCACACUUAUGACCUGCUUCCUUGUCCGGGGUCUAUGUGCAGCCAUCAUUUUUCUCCUGGAUUUAGCUUCAUCGCCGUUCUCCUUUCCAUCUUGAGAGCCCACUGUUAGAGUGUCCUUUGCUCUUUUUCUUAGCACGAGGCAAACAUGUGAGGCAAAGUUUAUAAGAAUUAAGUAUUUCUAAGAAUCUCAGUUUUGAGAGGUUGUUAGAAAGGAGCUCUUUCCUCUACCUUAUUUUCCCUCCUUUUUCUCCCACUCACCCCCAAACCACAAGGUAAGUGUUUAAAGCCACUCUUGUUGUUCAAAGUGGUCUCUGUCUCCUUUAAAGUAGUGGUCUCCUUUAAAGUGGUGACAAUGGUUGGAAUAAGUUAAAAUAAAAAAAAAUAAGCGAAUGUGAACAGUUUUGAAUUGCCUUUUUCUAUUUUCCUUCAGUAACUAUAAAUAAUAAUACACUUCAUAAGAAGAAUAUAGUUGAUGCUUACAAAUAUUCUUUCAACAGAACUAAAAUGUUGAAUGCAUUUCACUUGAUAAUAUAUUUUCCAUUUCCAUUUACUGGUUCUUUUCAAAAAAACCUCCCCUACUCCCAUUUCUACCUUAUCAGAAUGGUGCAUACAGAAUAUUUGACUUGAGGCUAAGUCUAUUUUCUCAAUUUUUUUUGAGUGACUAUUCUCUAAAGAAAGUAUUAUUAAAAACAGACUUCUACAAAAAUGGACUUUAACCCUAAUUACCUUCUUUGAAUAUGAGAAGGAUAUUUUGAUUUCCCAAAUGCACAUUAACUGAAUUCUUGAAAUGGAUCCCUUCAUGGCUGACUCUUCUUUAUUUUUUUCUGUAAUAGAAACAUGACGUUGUCUCCCAGAGACCUCUAAAGACUCCAUUGCAUGUGUCUUGCAGGAGCUAAA